rnacentral:rRNA from 1 species
GUGAGGAAUAUUGCGCAAUGGAGGCAACUCUGACGCAGCCAUGCCGCGUGCAGGAAGAAGGCGCUACGCGUUGUAAACUGCUUUUAACCGGGAAGAAACCCCAGGACGUGUCCUGGGUUGACGGUACCGGAGGAAUAAGCACCGGCUAACUUCGUACCAGCAGCCGCGGUAAUACGAAGGGUGCAAGCGUUAUCCGGAUUCAUUGGGUUGAAAGGGUGCGUAGGCGGAGCGUUAAGUCAGUGGUGAAAUCCUGCAGCUUAACUGUAGACUUGCCAUUGAUACUGGCGCUCGUGAGUGCGCUUGAAGUGGGCGGAAUGUGCCGUGUAGCGGUGAAAUGCUUAGAUAUGGCACAGAACACCAAUUGCGAAGGCAGCUCACUAAGGCGAUACUGACGCUGAGGCACGAAAGCGUGGGGAUCGAACAGGAUUAGAAACCCCUGUAGUCC